UUUGUUGGUUUGGAAAUUGCAUGGAUUAUGGGCUAUAGGAAGGUUGAAGUUAAUCUUGAUGGUGAGAUUGUUUAGCUUCUUCGCACAAGCUAAUAUAAUCUUUGAAUACAAACUUAUUGCUUGCAUAAAAGCUAAAUUUAGCAUUUUUCUAAAAAAUCUAACUUUAGUCAUAGCUUCCAGUUAAAUUUAGUUGCUAAAAUUAAAAAACUAAGAUCAUUAUUUUAUAUAUAAUAAUAUUAAACAUAAUUUUUUUAAACUCCAAUAACAGCGGAAAUACAAACUACAUCACAAUAAUUCAGAUUAUAGGACAAAAAACAUUUCAUUCUAAACUAUCCCUACAGAAGUAUAACUUCCUUUACUACUAAUGCUAUAAAAUUAUAAAAGAUUUACAAUGAAAUUGAAGAUUAUAUAUGUGAUCAAAUAUAACUUACAUGAAGAUUUAAAUGACAUUACCAUUGAAGCAAAUACAACUUUACAAUAACAUUGAAGAUUAUAUAUGUGAUCAAAUAUAUCUUGCAUGAAGAUUUAAAUGACAUUGCCGUUGAAGGAAAUACAACUUGCUGUAACUUCUUCUACUGUACCAUAUCCAUAUCCCAAUUGUCCACCCCAAUUGUCCAUGUGGUGGCAUGUCUUGAAACUGUUCUUCAUUCUGGGUAAAGAAAAAGUAUACCUAGUAUAAGAGGAUGAGCUUCUGAUGAUUUUUUUUUUUUGCAUUCGAUGAUGGGUCUUGACAGGCUGCUCAAAGCUUACAUAUUCGAUGAUGGGUCUAGACAGGCCAUUCAAACUUUAAAUUAUAUCAACAAUCUUGUACAAGCUAUUGUUGAAAAUAAUAUCUGUUCCAAUAGAUCAAAUUUUAAAAAGAUUAUAACAUUACACCAAAAAUAUCAAAAAUAUGAUACAUACAAUAAUCAAUUACUACCUACUAGGUAUUAUUAACGACAUUGCCGUUGAAGGAAAUACAACUUGCUGUGUCGAAGAAAAUAUAACUUCCUCUACUGUACCAUAUCCAUAUCCCAAUUGUCCAUGUGAUGGCAUGGGUGGACAGUCUUGAAACUGUUCUUCAUUUUUGGUAAGGAAAAAGUAUAUCUGGUAUAAGAAGAUGAGGGGAUGAGCUUCUGAUGAUUUUUUUUUUUUGCAUUCGAUGAUGGGUCUUGACAGGCUGCUCAAAGCUUGCAUAUUCGAUGAUGGGUCUUGACAGGCCAUUCAAACUUUGAAUUAUAUCAACAAUCUUGUACAAGCUAUUGUUGGAAAUAAUAUCUGUUCCAAUAGAUCAAAUUUUAAAAAGAUUAUAACAUUACACCAAAAAUAUCAAAAAUAUGAUACAUACAAUAAUUAAUUACUACCUACUAGGUAUUAUUAACGACAUUGCCGUUGAAGGAAAUACAACUUGCUGUGUUGAAGAAAAUAUAACUUCCUCUAUUGUACCAUAUCCAUAUCCCAAUUGUCCAUGUGGUGGCAUGGGUGGACAGUCUUGAAAUUGUUCUUCAUUCUGGGUAAGGAAAAAGUAUACCUGAUAUAAGAGGAUAAGAGGAUGAGCUUCUGAUGAUUUUUUUUUUUUGCAUUCGAUGAUGGAUCUUGACAGGCUGCUCAAAGCAUAUUCGAUGAUAGGUCUUGACAAGCCAUUCAAACUUUGAAUUAUAUCAACAAUCUUGUACAAGCUAUUGUUGGAAAUAAUAUCUGUUCCAAUAGAUCAAAUUUUAAAAAGAUUAUACCAUUACACCAAAAAUAUCAAAAAUAUGAUACAUACAAUAAUCAAUUACUACCUACUAGGUAUUAUUAACGAUCAGAGCCAAUACUUACAAGCAAUAACUAUCAGUUAUAUCUAUUGUAAGCCAUUAAGACUACAUUAUAAAAGAUUUUACGAAUGUUAAUUAGUAGGUAUCUUUGUUAAAAAUCACUACCAUGAGAGAUUCUUUUGUGGACAAAUGUUAACCAAUGUCUCUUUUGUGGAGGAGACAUGUCAAAUGUAUCAGAGCAACGAAAAGAAAAGGCCAAAUAUUUAAACCUAUAAUCAUCACAUUUGAGAGAGUAGGUUUAUAUAUAUAAAAUUAGGAUAAAAAAAGUUGAAUCUAACAACACAUGAUAUAAGGGGUAAUUUGAACAAGAUGUUGAGUACAAAAUCUUUAGGCAAAUAAUCAACCGCCAUUGUAGAUAUUGGCUUCGUUGAUGAGGAUCCCAAGCAAGGCAACUAAAAAAUCAAAGGACAGAGGACCCUUCCCACAAGUGGAGAGAUUUGUAAAAGGAGAGCCUUAAAUCCACUAAAAACAGAGGCUUGCACAUAAGAUCCAGGGUUGGUUCUGAGAGAGAGAGAGAGAGGGAGGAAGGAAUGGAGAGGACGUUAGAAAAGGCUUAUGAAAUUAAAGAGGGAGAUGAACUCUUAGCCACUAAGUAAGAAUAGUGGACCCACAUACCACAUCGAUAACUUACCAUGUUUAUCAAGAUUGUCUGGUGGCAAGAAACGUGUGGGUUUCCAACAAUUCCCCUAGAAGAGUACUGCUCCAUGCAAAGUAAAUCGGAUCAAAGGCAUCACGUGGUUGGCAUUAACAUAAUACUGACACAGAGUAAGUUUACAAAGUUUAGAAAGUCAUACAUAGUUGGCAGAUACUCAGACUAGCUAGUAAAUCGUAUUUGAGUUCAAAAGAAAAAUGGAACCAAAAGAAUGUUGCUUAUCAAUGGAAAGAAAUGAAGUUAACCCAUUAUGAUUUGUUAAAUUCACUUUACUACUACUGCCCUAAAAAUUAUAAAAGUUUUAUAUGACAUUUAAUAUUAUAUGACAUUGAACAAAAAUAAUGACAUUUUAAUAAGAGAACAGGGAACAGGAAAACCACUUUAGCUUCUGAUUCAGUUUCGUUGCUUACCUUUACUAUGUAUUCUUUGCUAUUUUGCUCAGCCUUCUUAAAGAUUAUCUUUCUAUUUUAAGCAUUUUCAUCCUUCUUUACCUUCAGCUCUUGGUUCUUCAACAAUGACCAUUCCUCACUUCUCUUCCUUUUCUUUAGCACAGAUUAAAUAUUAUAGCAGCUGCCUUGGUUUCUUCAACAAUUUCUAAUCAUAAAGAAACAUCCAAUGUAUCAAUGCAAGAACAUUAUGAACUAAAACUCUAUUAAGGACUCAAAUAACCAUUUACGCCCUUUCCAAAAAGAAGAGCAACCGUUAAUCAUAGUUAAAACUGGACAAGACCCUAGGCAAAGCAACGUUAAUGAAGGUGCAAUAUUAUCCAUAUAGCAAUCAUUCAACUACGCAGGUCUCACAGGAAAAUAAAAUCCAUUUGGUAUUUGCUUAAUUAAAACAGUCAGUCAAGUAAACUAAUUAACCCAUAACUAUCUUUAUU
rnacentral:lncRNA from 1 species